rnacentral:rRNA from 1 species
AUGUCUUCCUCCACCUCCUCCUCCUUCCAGCCAAACCUCAGCGGCGGAGUCACAGAGAAACUCUCCCGCACCAACUACAUCCUGUGGCGAACUCAGAUCACGCCACAGCUGCGGGGCGCCGGCGUCUAUCACUACGUCGACGGCACGUCGACCGAGCCGGCCAAAACCCACGUCACCAAAGAUGCCGCUGGGAAAGAAACCGAGGGGCCGAAUCCUCUCCAUCCGCUCUGGGUGAAGGAGGAUCAGCAGGUCCUUGGAUAUCUACUCCAACACCUAUCCAAGGAGGUGCUCGUCACGGUGACUGCGAUCACCACGGCGCGCGAACUCUGGGUGGCGCUGGCGAGCAUGUUCUCGUCACAGUCCCUCAGCCGCGUCAACAACAUUCGCACGGCGCUGAUCAACGCGCAGAAGGGCAGCCAAUCGGUGUCCUCCUUCUUCGCCACCAUGAGGGGGCUUGCUGAUGAACUCGCCGCGGCGGGAAAACCAAUCCAAGACGACUAG